GAUUAACGCUGGCGGUGUGUAUAAUACAUGCAAGUCGAGCGUCCCGAUUUAUCGGGAAGCGGCGGACGAGUGAGUAACGUGUUGGAACCUGCCCUAAACUCAGGGAUAGCCCACUGAAAGGUGGAUUAAUACCGGAUGGUUCCCGACUAAAGUCGGGAUAAAGCUUCGGCGGUUUAGGAGGGGCCUGCAUAGUAUCAGCUUGUUGGUGGGGUAAUGGCCUACCAAGGCUAUGACGCUUAACUGGUCUGAGAGGACGACCAGUCACGAUGGGACUGAGACACGGCCCAUACUCCUACGGGAGGCAGCAGUAAAGAAUCUUCCGCAAUGGGCGAAAGCCUGACGGAGCAACACCGCGUGGUCGAUGAAGCCUUUUGGAGUGUAAAGACCUUUUCUGAAGGAAUAAUUUUGAAGGUACUUCAGGAAUAAGCACCGGCUAACUCCGUGCCAGCAGCCGCGG
rnacentral:rRNA from 1 species